UAUGUUUCUUACUGAUACUACCUAACCGCUUUGUACACAAAACCUACAUUCCAAAAUAGCCCCUUUGUAAACUAAAGGCUACCUGUAUUGAAUGGCGCACAGGUAAACGCGUAUAACUGAGCUUACAGCAACGCAAAACAAGUUUUAUAACGGUUUACUUGACCAUAUUUUCUGCUUCUUAAUACAUAAUAUUACAAAUCUUGAUAUAUACCACUUGUUAUUUUCAUACAUCACCGCUUACUAACAACUUCUAUGAACUUUAUUUGCUUUUACACAGCCUGCUCUCACUGUAGUGUGCAAGAGAUUUCAAAUAAGAGUGUAGCGUGACCGUUCACGCUCUGAAUAGGGGUUUCCUUUUGUUCGAUGCCGGGUACGUAUUGGUCGGUCGAUGGUAAUCAUCUUAGUUACCAGCACUGUAGCGAAACGAACCUCACGGAAAACAGGGUGGCGCUCGUGCAACACAAGUCUUACGUCACCGCUCCACUCAUCUGCAACGAUUCUUGCGCCUUGAGGAAAAUCCCCGGCUUCAAUAAUGAAGAAUCGAACAUGUGUGUGGGACGGGAUGACGUAACGAGAAUGAAAUGCUCUUGUUUUGUGACUAAGGCCUCAAGCUUACUGUCAAGUUAUAACAUG